UACGGAGGAUCCGAGCGUUAUCCGGAUUUAUUGGGUUUAAAGGGAGCGUAGGUGGAUUGUUAAGUCAGUUGUGAAAGUUUGCGGCUCAACCGUAAAAUUGCAGUUGAAACUGGCAGUCUUGAGUACAGUAGAGGUGGGCGGAAUUCGUGGUGUAGCGGUGAAAUGCUUAGAUAUCACGAAGAACUCCGAUUGCGAAGGCAGCUCACUGGCCUGUAACUGACACUGAGGCUCGAAAGCGUGGGGAGCAAACAGG
rnacentral:rRNA from 1 species